CGACGAGUUUGAUCCUGGCUCAGGACGAACGCUUGCGGCGUGCCUAAGAAAUGCAAGUCGAACGGGGGCUUCGGCCCCAGUGGCGAACGGUCGCGUAACACGUAAGCAACCUGCCCUGAAGUGGGGGACAACAUCCCGAAAGGGGUGCUAAUACCGCAUGUGGUCACGAGUCGGCAUCGACUUGUGUCUAAAGAUUUAUCGCUUCAGGAUGGGCUUGCGGCCUAUCAGGUAGUUGGUGGGGUAAUGGCCUACCAAGCCGACGACGGGUAGCUGGUCUGAGAGGACGAUCAGCCGGAUUGGGACUGAGAUACGGCCCAGACUCCGUACGGGGGGCAGCAAUUAGGAAUCUUGCGCAAUGGGGCAACCCGUGACGCAGCGACGUCGCGUGAAGGAUGAAGGCCCCU
rnacentral:rRNA from 1 species